rnacentral:rRNA from 1 species
ACGAAAAACCUUACCUACCCUUGACAUGGAAGGAAUCCUUGAGAGAUUGAGGAGUGCCCGAAAGGGAACCUUUACACAGGUGCUGCAUGGCUGUCGUCAGCUCGUGUCGUGAGAUGUUGGGUUAAGUCCCGCAACGAGCGCAACCCUUGUCAUUAGUUGCUACGCAAGAGCACUCUAAUGAGACUGCCGGUGACAAACCGGAGGAAGGUGGGGAUGACGUCAAGUCCUCAUGGCCCUUAUGGGUAGGGCUUCACACGUCAUACAAUGGUACAUACAGAGGGCCGCCAACCCGCGAGGGGGAGCUAAUCCCAGAAAGUGUAUCGUAGUCCGGAUUGUAGUCUGCAACUCGACUACAUGAAGUUGGAAUCGCUAGUAAUCGCGGAUCAGCAUGUCGCGGUGAAUACGUUCCCGGGUCUUGUACACACCGCCCGUCACACCAUGGGAGCGGGUUUUACCAGAAGUAGGUAGCUUAACCGCAAGGAGGGCGCUUACCACGGUAGGAUUCGUGACUGGGGUGAAGUCGUAACAAGGUAAGCGUAGCGAG